AUUGAACGCUGGCGGCAGGCCUAACACAUGCGAGUCGAGCGGAUGAAGGGAGCUUGCUCCUGGAUUCAGCGGCGGACGGGUGAGUAAUGCCUAGGAAUCUGCCUGGUAGUGGGGGAUAACGUCCGGAAACGGGCGCUAAUACCGCAUACGUCCUGAGGGAGAAAGUGGGGGAUCUUCGGACCUCACGCUAUCAGAUGAGCCUAGGUCGGAUUAGCUAGUUGGUGGGGUAAGGGCCUACCAAGGCGACGAUCCGUAACUGGUCUGAGAGGAUGAUCAGUCACACUGGAACUGAGACACGGUCCAGACUCCUACGGGAGGCAGCAGUGGGGAAUAUUGGACGAUGGGCGAAAGCCUGAUCCAGCCAUGCCGCGUGUGUGAAGAAGGUCUUCGGAUUGUAAAGCACUUUAAGUUGGGAGGAAGGGCAGUAAGUUAAUACCUUGCUGUUUUGACGGUACCAACAGAAUAAGCACCGGCUAACUUCGUG
rnacentral:rRNA from 1 species